CGGGGCUGGUUGCUCCGAGGAAGGAGGAUGGAGUUCUGCAUGGCUAAUUCCACCUCCGUAGCCAUCUCCCUCCCGCCUGCCUCCAAAAGCGCAUUGGAUCCCAGCUCUCUUGAGUGAUCUGGCACCAGAGGAAUCCCCUCCUGGGAGUGUCAGGAGUGUCGCGGCAGCCACGCAGAGGGAGGUACCAGGGAUGCAGGUCUAUCCCAGGCAGCCGGAGGCGUAUCCUGAAUGGAUCCAGUCCAGCUGUUUGCAGCGCUGGCCACGAGUCCCUCCUUCCAUCGCGCCCUGCGAAGCUAUUUGCAGCUGGGCCAAGCGCCAGUGGAAUUCACUCCCGUGCCUGAGAGCCAGGCACCGCUGACACCCUCGCUGGCUUUCAGUGAGCGAGGAAAACCAGCAGCAGUCACCUGGCAGCAGUGUGCAGAGGCUGCCGCAUGCUGGGCUCUGCCUUAGAGGGUGUCUGAGCUCAACAGGCGGCUGUACGGUGGCUCAGGACUCCAGCCACGAUCGCACUGUCCGGAGACAGGAUGAGCAGUGAGAGACAGGCCGUGCAUCACUGGGCUUGUUGGGAAGCCACCGCUAUUCAAGCAAAGGUCUCCUGCUGAUUGCCCUAUUGGCUCCAUCUCAGAAGCGGGGCGGCAGAGAACCUAGUUAAUUAAACCCCAGAAGGCACCUAUGCUUCAUGUGCUAGGCACUGCGGCCACUGGAACUCAGCUGGUGCAUAAACCCAUUACCGGGCCGGAGACUCAUUUGCAAGCAGAGAGUGUUGGUGUUCACAGCUGCCUAGUAAAGCCUCUGUGCCUCGAGUGUGCUCAACAUGCCCGCCGCAUCCUGCAGAGAUGUGAGGGAGACAAAGAGAGGCCAAGGAGGAUGGGGGAAGGAGAGGACAGAAGGUGGAUCCUGAAGCCUUUAUGGAGGCGGGGAAGAAUAGGAGCUCUGAUAAAGGCAAAAUAAACCCGAAUGAGAACUCAG